rfam:Brachypodium distachyon strain Bd21 chromosome 2, whole genome shotgun sequence.
CUGCUACUCCCUCCGAUCCAUAUUACUUGUCGAAAUAUUACAUGUAUCUAGACACUUUUUAUACAUAGAUACAUCCAUAUUUGGGCAAAUUUAAGACAAUUAAUAUGGAUUGGAGGGAGUAUGUG